rnacentral:lncRNA from 1 species
UUUAAAAAAAAAAUAGGGUCAAUCUUUUUCAUUUUCUUACUCAACAGUUGUGAUGUACUGUGUUACAUUAAAUUAAUAUUCUUCAGGAAAUUACAGUUGUGGAACAUGGGCAGACAGUUACUUAAUGGCAUACCCUAACUCUGAAAGUUUAGCAGUGAUGCUUAAAAUGCUAGGAUUUUUAUAUGAAAAAAUAAGGAAGAAAUUUUAGAUAAUUUUGGCCAUAAUUAUGGACUCCAAAGAUAUGAACAAGAGGAUUAGAGUACAAGUAUCUAUAUCCCACGUCAGAACCUGCUCUUCCGAUACAACACAGUCCCAGAUUGUUUUGGGACAAUGGAACAUUUAUUCCUUAGCACACUGUAUUGGGAUUCUCCCUCACCCCAGCCGUUGUUGUUAUUUUUGUUUUAAGGAAAAAAAAAAAAUACCCAAAACCUUAUUUUGGUUUUUAGGUGUUGAAAUACCAAGAACUCUUUGAUAGAGGUUGAACUUGUCUAGUGUCACUUAUGCUAAGGUCAGAUUCUUUUGAUAGCCUAUUAAAUUUAGCAUUUACUUUUAGAUGUGACAUUCAUAUUUAUUUGAUUUUAACACUGGUUAAAGUUCAAUGAAAAAAAUUUGUUAAUUUUUAGUAGUGCCUUUUUCUCUGUAUGCCUUAAUUUUAUUUUAUAUUUGUAAUUCAGAUUACCUAACAAAAUGAAGAGUUUUCCAAAAUGCUAGGCCUCAAGAGUGUCUCUGGCCUUGGUCUGUGUGUUGGCCCCUAUGUCUUUCUUAAUGCUUAUUUCUUCCUCUUACCCUUUCUACCUCCUUUUUAAGAAAAGUUAGGAGAGAACAGUAGCAUUUAACUGACUGCAAUCUCCACUAGAUGUGAAUUCCUAAAAUAAAUAUAGAAAGGUAUUCUCAUUCAAAAAGACACAGCAAAUUGAUUUUUGGGUUGAGUACUUGAUUUUCAGUCAUACUGGCACUGUCCAAGUUCUUUGUGUAUUAUUGUUUGGUUAUGGUUUUCAUAGAACUAGAGCAGUUGUUUUGUCCUUAAGAGCUCCUUUAAGUAUUUUAUGAAGGUUGAGGCAAUGAGCAAGAAAUCCAUUAGUAUGUAACAUUUGACCAAUACUCUAGCUUACUGUUCUGUGAAGUAUGUGCGCGUGCAUGUGUGCGUGCGUGCGUGCGUGUAUGCGUGUGUGGCAUUGGGGCAGGGGUAGGAACGUGUAGUUGUUCAGUUAGAUCUGUUUUUGUUCUUGGAAGAACAACUGAAAAAUGUCUAUGUACUACUAUAGGAUGAGAAGGAUCAUUCCCAAGUAGGCAUGCCAGGACAUUUUCCAUAAGUAGCUAGUACAAAUGAUUGUUUAAUAAAGAUAUUUAUUGUAAGUUGCCAAGCUCUUAAUUGCUAAAAAUAGAUUAAAAUUCCAUUUCUGUUUGUAUCUGUAAUAAUUAGCUUAUAUAUAAUUCUUUAAUAGAAAGUAUGUGAUCUUAGGUAUUUCUUCAUGAACUUUUUGGAGUAGAAAUUCUGCCAGAUAUUAUCAGACAAGCUUCCUUAGUUUACCAGGUCAUCAAAAUGAAAAGUUCUUAUACCUCUUGUUGGUUGCUGGGGAAGGUGUGCUGUGAGCCACUCUUUGCUUCUGUCAUCGUUAGUGCUGCUUCCACUCCUCCCAUUGUCUAACCGACACCAUGAGUGCUGUGGGGUCCAGGGUUGUCCUCUCUGUGCUCGCUCUCAGAGCUGGAGAUGGGUAGCUCUAGGGAACCAAGUCAUUUCUCAGAGGUACUAAAAGUGGUCAAGGUUGAGCUUCUGGAAGACAAGGGGGGAGUCAUAGCUAUAGUGAAAAAAGCAUAUGCUGUAUCCAUUGCCUGUAUACAGUCUCAUAUAAUUCUUCAUGGUUUAUGUGUUUGUGUAUUUUAAUAGACAGUGAUAAGGUAUUACGUUCCCAACAGCAAAGACAUUAAACGAGAGAAUGCUCCUGUCCUUCUGCCUGGUGGUGUUUGUUUGUACCUCAGUCUGUAUUACCAGAAUCACUUUAAACCAAAGCUUUUUUAUUCCCUGCACACAUAGCCAAAAUGAUUAGCCCUGAUAAAUUUGCCCAUGUGUGAGCUAAUAGUAUCUAAAUGGUAGAGCAGAUGCUAGUAGAACUUGUUUGCCAAUCUAUCUUAUCCUUCAAAGAAAAGGACAGGUGCUCAGUUGCUCGAAUUUAGACAUGCAGAAUACUUACUAUUAUGGAGCUAUAUAGACACUGCAGACAUACGUUCUUAUGUGUGCCAAUCUUAUUAACGUCAUUUGGCCACUGAUGUGUGUAGAUUUGUGUUGACAUCUGAUGCUCAGGUUGGUGGCUUAUUUUCUUUCUAGUGUCUUAACAUUUAUGAGUUUCUGUUUGACUUAAGGGACAUUUCAACAAUGCUGUGAAGAAAAGUAGGUUAUGAACUAGUCUGCUUUGUGCCAUAGACAUUUUGGAAUGUACAGAAGGAAGCAUCUGCUCUCUAUUCUUUAAAGCUUACAGAAUUUGAUCCCCACUAAGGAUUUAUGAAUCUUAUAAUGCCAGUUGAGAAAAGUUUAUGACUAUUCUGAAAAGCACUUUGUAUUCAUUUAUUUGUAUGUUUUAGAACUUUUUAAAAAUCCUGUAUAAUCAAUGAUUUUAGCACUAGCAUUACUUAGAGCAGAAGAUAAAUAAUUACAUGUUAAACUCUAGCAGUUGCAUUGAAUCCAGAAUAUAUUUGACAUGUUCUCAGUUAUCCAAAGACUUUUUUCCUCCUUGCAGUAAGGAGAGUAGACUAGUGUGGGACUCUGCAAGCCUAAAAGGAUUAUGGGCAAAAGGAAGUGGGCCAAACCCUUGUCAAUCAAAACCAUAUUGUCUAGGGAUGAGAAUACUUCUUUAUAGACAGUUUUUUUUUAUAAUUAGUAAGUAAAAGGUUUACAUUUCUUCCAUUGCUGUUGGUUUUAAAAUUUAGCCUGCAUUCUGAAAUAUCCUAACAAAGUUAAUACCAAAAAACACCUUUAAUGUCUGACAUCUCUUAUAUUUCAUGUGGUUGUUUUUACUCAUUGUAAAUAAAACUUGGAUAAAUUUGAAAAUAAACUUUUAUCUUGCAGACUAUGAUUAUCAAUUUGUAAAUUUACCCUUUGACUUAUGUACAUUUAAAAUGUAUCCAUUAAAUUCUCUAUAUUUAAUGU